AUGGGAUCCCUCAUGAGCGGCGCCAUUGCCCUCGUCGCCGAGCGCGCUAACACUCAGGCGUGGGUCAUCGGCUUCGACACCCGCCUCUUCACUGCCGUCUACGCCGGCAUAGUGUGCUCCGGUGUGGCUUACUACGUGCAGGGCAUCGUGUCGAGGCAAAGGGGUCCUGUGUUCGUGACGGCCUUCAACCCACUCUGCAUGAUCGUAACCGCCGUCAUGGGCUCCAUCAUUCUCAAGGAGGAGAUCAAUCUCGGAAGUGUGAUUGGUGCAGCCAUCAUCGUGGGAGGCCUCUACUUUCUCAUCUGGGGCAAGAGCAAGGACGAGAUCAACAAAGUCUCCGACGUCAGCGUCAAGGGCGCCGGCGAGCUGCCCUUAACCUCGGUGACCAACGAUCACGGCCACGGCAAGCAGCACGAGCUCGGCAACAGCAAUGGAAGCCAUGUCUUGGACGUCGAGACGCCUACGACCAAUGGCCACUACUAG
rnacentral:rRNA from 1 species